rnacentral:rRNA from 1 species
GUCUGCUGUUUAAAUACUUAGAGCUCAAUCUCGUGAGUAAGCAGCUGGAAACUGUUAUGGUCUAGAGUAUUGGUAUGGGUAAAGGGAACUCCCAGUGUAUCGGUGAUAAUGCGUAGAUAUUGGGUAUAGAACACCAGUAGUCGAAAGCGCUUUACUAGACCAUUAUCUGACACUCAGAGACGAAGAGCUAGGGGAGCAAAUGGGAUUAGUAUACCCCAGUAGUCCUAGCCGUAAACGAUGGAUACUAGAUGUUGCGUGUAUCGACCCAUGCAGUAUCGUAGCUAACGCGUUAAGUAUCCCGCCUGGGAAGUAUGCUCGCAAGAGUGAAACUCAAAGGAAUUGACGG